rnacentral:rRNA from 1 species
AACGAACGCUGGCGGCGCGCCUAAUACAUGCAAGUCGAGCGAGAAGGUGUAGCAAUACACUUGUAAAGCGGCGAACGGGUGAGGAAUACAUGGGUAAUCUACCAUCGAGUGGGGAAUAACCAACCGAAAGGUUGGCUAAUACCGCGUACGCCUCCGAGUCUUCGGGUUCGGAGGGAAAGCUGCACUGUGAAGUGUAGCGCUCUUUGAUGAGCUCAUGUCCUAUCAGCUUGUUGGUAGGGUAACGGCCUACCAAGGCUUUGACGGGUAGCUGGUCUGAGAGGACGAUCAGCCACAUUGGGACUGAGACACGGCCCAAACUCCUACGGGAGGCAGCAGUGGGGAAUCUUGCGCAAUGGGCGAAAGCCUGACGCAGCCAUGCCGCGUGAAUGAUGAAGGUCUUAGGAUUGUAAAGUUCUUUAGCCUGUGACGAUGAUGACGGUAACAGGAGAAUAAGCCCCGGCUAACUUCGUGCCAGCAGCCGCGGU